AUGGUUUAUCUUAAGUAAAACCUGUCUAACUUCGACCAUAUUUAUAGAAAAAUAAUAAUAUCUAUACUACCAAAGUAUGUACUAUCAAAAUAUAUUCCAUGGUGGAUUCAAUGAAACAAAUUUUGUGCUGUAGAUGUUGUUAUAUUUUUGUAUAAACUUGGUCAAAGUUGAAUAAGUUCGACUUAAGACAAACCAAA
rnacentral:pre_miRNA from 1 species